rnacentral:rRNA from 1 species
UGCGUAGGCGGAAUAUUAAGUCAGUGGUGAAAUCCUGCGGCUCAACCGUAGAACUGCCAUUGAUACUGAUAUUCUUGAAUGCAGUUGAGGUAGGCGGAAUGUGUAAUGUAGCGGUGAAAUGCUUAGAUAUUACACAGAACACCGAUUGCGAAGGCAGCUUGCUAAACUGUGAUUGACGCUGAUGCACGAAAGCGUGGGGAGCGAACAGGAUUAGAUACCCUGGUAGUCC